AAACCGGAGGAAGGCGGGGAGUGACGUCAAAUCAUCAUGCCCCCUUAUGUUCUGGGCUACACACGUGCUACAAUGGCCGGUACAGACGGACGCAAAGCCGCGAGGUGGAGCAAAUCCUAAAAAGCCGGUCUCAGUUCGGAUUGCAGGCUGCAAUUCGCCUGCAUGAAGUCGGAAUCGCUAGUAAUCGCAGGUCAGCAUACUGCGGUGAAUACGUUCCCGGGCCUU
rnacentral:rRNA from 1 species